CCUACGGGUGGCAGCAGUGGGGAAUAUUGCGCAAUGGGCGAACGCCUGACGCAGCGACGCCGCGUGAGGGAUGAAGGUCUUCGGAUCGUAAACCUCUGUCAGCAGGGACGAACGGUCACUGUGCUAAUCAGCAGUGAAUUGACGGUACCUGCAAAGGAAGCACCGGCUAACUCCGUGCCAGCAGCCGCGGUAAUACGGAGGUGGCGAGCGUUAAGCGGAAUUACUGGGCGUAAAGCGCUCGUAGGCGGUAUGUCAAGUCAAGGGGGAAAUCCCCGCGCUCAACGUGGGAACUGCCUUUGAAACUGGAAAACUGGAGUGUGUGAGAGGAUAGUGGAAGUCCAGGUGUAGGAGUGAAAUCCGUAGAUAUCUGGAGGAACAUCAGUGGCGAAGGCGACUAUCUGGCACAUAACUGACGCUGAGGAGCGAAAGCGUGGGUAGCAAACAGGAUUAGAUACCCGGGUAGUC
rnacentral:rRNA from 1 species